GAAAUCUCAGUGAAAAUUACGUCACUGAACUACGUAAGGAUUCCUUUGAAGGCCUGCUGUCUCUGCAGUAUUUAAAUCUUCAUUGUAAUUUACUCACAGAACUGAGCUCUGGAACAUUUCAAGCAUGGCAUAGGAUGCAGUUUUUAUACCAAGUAUUUAUUCCCAUAAAAGAUCUUCAGAGGACAAUGAAGAAGGGUUCUCAAGGGGCUUUUCCCAACAUUGGCAUGGGAGAUGCAAUACGGAACAUGAAAACAAGGAAGCCUUUCCCUUCUUCAGCUCAGGUCCCUGUGACAGUGGGAUGCAUUCACCUGGGAAGGGAGUCGGAUCUUGGAUGUGACACUGCUGCCGGAUUCUGCCUCCUCCUGAAUUUCUAGUUCCUCCCAGUUGGUGGCCGUGGCUAGGACUGAGCCAGCAUCAUCUAAAAGUAAU